UACGGAGGGGGCUAGCGUUGUUCGGAAUUACUGGGCGUAAAGGGCGCGUAGGCGGUCUGAUAAGUUAGGUGUGAAAUUCCCGGGCUUAACCUGGGGGCUGCACUUAAUACUGUUGGGCUUGAAUUCGGGAGAGGAUAGUGGAAUUCCCAGUGUAGAGGUGAAAUUCGUAGAUAUUGGGAAGAACACCAGUGGCGAAGGCGACUAUCUGGACCGACAUUGACGCUGAGGCGCGGAAAAGCGUGGGGAGCAAACAGGG
rnacentral:rRNA from 1 species